GCAUGCAACGCAAACCAAACAGGAAGAGAUGUUAUCGAUUGUUUCGAGGUGGUCGGCGUAAAGUCGAAGAAUGCUUAUUUUUCAAAAGGUAAAUUAAUUGCGGCGGCAUAACAUUUUAAUAUUCAGUGUUGCGUUAUGCAAAAGUGUAGAGAAAACAUCCUUGCAAUUUAUUUUAUGCGCGCUUAGUAAAGUGUAGAACGUUGUUCGCGUGGCAGAAAUCUAAUCAAAAUCUGACCACUGCCAAGACCCUCGUGAUCAUUGAAAACCCAAACGCUGUGUCAACAUGAAUGAACAAUUCCAUGUCCUAAAUGAUGCUUACAGAUGUUUAUUGUCGAGAACAUCACCCAGCAAAAUGAGUAGCCAUGAGUUGGCAUCCUCCAUGUUCACAUGUGUAUGUGAACUGACUCUUGAUGCCAGUGAUGGUUCUCAUUCUCAGGACCAGUCCAGAGAUCCCAUAACGUCCUUCAAAUAUUCUCCAAACCCAAAUGGAACUGAGCUGGCUUGUCUUGUGUUGACUCUGGUGGAGAAAAUAAGCUCCAAGCUGACAUCUCAACAACUGUCUCAUGAAACCAGCCUUUAAUUCAAAGGUUCACCUUGCCUGCUGCAAGGACAGAUUGCUGUCUCAUCUAGCUGCAAAGAGUGUAUCCUCCUAUGUUAUUUUUGAGCUGCGUUGCUUUGUGAGUUUUCUGAUUGCGUCCUGUGUGAUUUAUGACUAUAUUGUAUUGCAUUGUCAAGUAAAUUAUAUUGAAUACUAGUCAAGUAACUCUUGGAGUUCUGUGUGCAUCAGACAGUCUCACAUUAGAGAACCCAAAUCUGUCACCCGAUACUGUAAAAUCCUAUUCACACACAGGCCUACCAGGCUUUAUUUAAGCAGAUUCUUACAUUCAGUUCUCUUUUUUUCUGACUAGAAUACAGUCAACCAGAUUUGGGAAUGGAAGUGCUUGCAAGUGCUCCAGAACCCUUGCUCUGGCAACGCACUGGAUGCAUGCACAUGGUCACUUACCACUGUCCUGAAAGCAGUUCUAAAAGAAACAUCACAAUAUAAACCUGGGACUUUGGAGAAACUUCUUGCCACAUUCGACACAGCUCUCACUGCUGUUUACUCCCAGCUUGUCCCUGUAGAGAGUCUGGGCCAUGGGAACUCUGCAUCAUACCCCAGUAGUAACACGGCAGACUGGGCUACAACUCUGACUAACCUCCUAGACUUACUGGAAGUGCUCACUGCUGCCAGGUUCAAACUAAGCACCACUAGGGUCUGUUUCACCAGCUCAAGGCUCUCCCUCGUACAGGCAUCAGCGCUACUGCGGAUAGUCGACUCUCAUGUCCACUACUUUGUGAAGAAGCAAGUGCUUCUGCUUUUAAAGAGGAUUCUCCUUCAGAAGGCAGGCGAGGACAUGGGUUUUGGUGAGGCGUCCUCCCUAACGCAUGGAGAUGAUCACAUGACCAGUGACAUUUUUACACUGGCAGAUGAUGUGUUGCAGGCAGUGCACACUGAUUGGUUACAGUGUGUUCCAGUGGAGUCGGCGGCCAAUUGUGUGGCGGGAGCAGUGAUGCGUUUGAUCAUGUGAUGCUGAGGGCUGUUAGUCUAGUUGUGCUCAAGUCACUGGAAUACAAAAUCCAAUCCGCUGGUGGGAAAGGUAAUAUAGGACUAUUUGUAAUUGUUAUUAACCAUAUCUACGUUAGGCGCAAUGUUUAUUCUACCUUAAAGUUAGACUCAGCGAAAUGACGUUGCCACGAGCAGCACCACAGAUAUUGAGAAGAGAGACAUGCAAGAAUUCUCUCUCACACAGUCAUACACAGUAUCUGCGCAUGUGCACGUGUUCGCUUUGCUCUGUUUGAGUGUGGUAGCCACGGUACCAAAACAGCUAUGUUGAGCCUCGUGGAAGUUGUUGCAGAAAUCGACCCACUAUGCUGUUUACUUUCUGCAUAUGUCAUAUCGCUGAGUCUAACUUUAACAUGACUAGUUUCUAAAGCUCAAAUAAUCAGAAGGAUAAAAACAUCAUGAUGACAGGAACGAUAAUUCAGACAGAUGUAUACAAUAGGGGGCAAUGUCUCCCAACACAUAACACACAAGAACAGUAUUUCACAAAGUAUUGUCUCUCUCAAGGCAAAAGUUCCUCAGGACCCCUAACCAUAGGUCUAGAAUCAGAUUACCCUACCCAGAUCCAUUAUGGCUGUGAAAUAUCUGAUCUGGAAUCAGUGGGUAGAGGCAACUUCUACCCACUCUGUCCAUCCACUUGUCUCUGGUCCCACAGGUGUAUGUAAUACCAUUGGCAUCCAUGGCUAUUUAAGUGCAUUGCUGCUGUUCCUGAGCCAGCAUGGGGUCCAGCUGAAGCAGGGAUCUCACUCCUGCUGCUGGGUGUCCUUGGUGUUUGGAGAGCAGGACGACGACAUGAUGGAAGCAGCAAAGGCUUUACUCCUACUAUACCUCCAUCACAGAGUGUCCUCUGACCUGGAACCUGAUGCUGCGUGUGUUGUCGGCGGCAACCCCCACUGUCACUUUCUCUUCCUCCUCUGCAGCAUCUCCUUUGACCACAGCAUUCUCCUGAAGCGAAGAGAAGUUGUUCACAGCGUUGAAUUCCAUAAUGACUAAAUAAAUGUUACAUGGUGGUAAAUGCA